AAAGGGGCGGCCCGGCCCGGCCCGGAAGCUACAGCAGCGGCGCGGAGACUGCGGGGCGGGCCAUGGCGGCGAACCUGAGCCGGAACGGGCCAGCGCUGCAAGAGGCCUACGUGCGGGUGGUCACCGAGAAGUCCCCGACCGACUGGGCUCUCUUUACCUAUGAAGGCAACAGCAAUGACAUCCGCGUGGCUGGCACAGGGGGUGAGUAUGACUCCAAAUGGACUCAGGGACACCAGGAGGUAGGAGGGUGACGACGAGGGGUCAGCGCACUCAGCUGUCUUGGUCCACUGAGCCACAUGGGGCUUCCAGUGCUCACUGGCCACUUCUGGCAGGCCUUAGGUUUCAGAUAUGUGUAAGUGAAAACAUUCCUCCUUGGUUCUCCUUCCCUCUGGGUGCAGGGGAGUGCUUUCUCUUUGUCUACUUGGGGAGAGCUGAGAGGGAAACAGGCCUCUCCAGCUUGUGGGCAGCCUGCGUUGGGAGCUGCGGUGGGAAGCUCACCAGUCCCAGAACUGGUGCUGGUGGAAAGAAAGUCCACAGACAUAUCUUCUUCUCCCUUUGUCCUGCCCUGGUCUUGUGCCGAGUGCUUGCAGGGGCCCCAUCCUCACUGGGAGAGGC
rnacentral:lncRNA from 1 species